GUGAGGUAAUGGCUCACCAAGGCGACGACGGGUAGCCGGCCUGAGAGGGUGACCGGCCACACUGGGACUGAGACACGGCCCAGACUCCUACGGGAGGCAGCAGUGGGGAAUAUUGCACAAUGGGCGCAAGCCUGAUGCAGCGACGCCGCGUGAGGGAUGACGGCCUUCGGGUUGUAAACCUCUUUCAGUAGGGAAGAAGCGAAAGUGACGGUACCUGCAGAAGAAGCGCCGGCUAACUACGUGCCAGCAGCCGCGGUAAUACGUAGGGCGCAAGCGUUAUCCGGAAUUAUUGGGCGUAAAGAGCUCGUAGGCGGUUUGUCGCGUCUGCCGUGAAAUUUCGGGGCUCAACCCCGAACUUGCAGUGGGUACGGGCAGACUAGAGUGUGGUAGGGGAGACUGGAAUUCCUGGUGUAGCGGUGAAAUGCGCAGAUAUCAGGAGGAACACCGAUGGCGAAGGCAGGUCUCUGGGCCACUACUGACGUUGAGAAGCGAAAGCAUGGGGAGCGAACAGGAUUAGAUACCCUGGUAGUCCAUGCCGUAAACGUUGGGAACUAGGUGUGGGUCUCAUUCCACGAGAUCCGUGCCGCAGCUAACGCAUUAAGUU
rnacentral:rRNA from 1 species